AAUCCCAUUUCCCUCGCUCUCCUUCCUCUCGCUGUGCUCAGAGGACGGAGAGGUUCUAUCGAGAGAUCGAAUGCGGGAUGGGUGGAGGGUCGAUGAGGUGGGCGGGGAAAGCGGACCACCUGGGAGGGGUCCCGCGGGCGCUCGUCAUCUUGGCCGUGGGGGCCUUCGCCAAGGUCGUCACUUCCCUCUUCAACUCCACCUCCGUCUACAACCCCGAAACCCUAAUCCGUCUUGUCCGUUCCCGCCCCCCCGGCCAGCCCCUCAUCACCGUCAGCAAUCACAUGUCCACGUUGGAUGACCCACUUGUGUGGGGUUUUAAGGGUUUUCCAACAGCAGAUGCAAAAUUAGCUCGGUGGGUUCUAGCCGCAGAAGAUAUAUGCUUCAAAAAUGUGAUUCUGUCAUACAUAUUUCGGCUUGGAAAAUGCAUACCUAUAACCAGGGGUGGUGGCAUAUAUCAGGCACAUAUGAAUGAAGCUCUUGAAGUACUGAGUGGUGGAGGCUGGUUGCACACAUUUCCAGAAGGAAAAGUGUCCCAGGAAAAUGCACCCAUAAGACGUUUGAAGUGGGGAACUGCGAGUCUUAUUGUACGUGCACCUGUAACCCCCCUUGUUUUGCCGAUUGUUCACUGUGGUUUCGAAAAGGUAUAUGGAUAUGCGCUUCCUUCAUCUAGUCCUAAUUUUCUGCUUUCAAUCACAUGUUUCUCAUGUGAAUGCAAUUAAUAUCUGAUGAUUUAUAUGUGAUUAUUUUUACCAAAAAUAUGAUGAAUGCUGUCUUAUGUAUCAUUUUAUCCUGUUAAUAUAUUCAUAUAUUGACUGUUAAUUCACUUCUCAGUGGUUUGGAAAGUUCCACCUUUCGAAAUGUUAAGGAAUCCAGAAAGGUAGGUUGUUUCCUUCGAUGCAUGGAAAGUAUACAGACAUUGACAUACAUGGAUAUGCGUACGGACACACCUGCUCACAUGCACACAUGAACACAUGUUGACAGACACACAUGCUGACGGUAAUUGCAUGUCUUGUUACUACAUGUAUUUGUUUUGUAAUUUAAGCACAACUUCUAUAACAUAAUUAGUAGCAGGUUCUAUUUUAGUUGCCUGAAUGAGCCAAUUCUGCUGUGGGUGAGGGGAAGUGGAUUUCUCGAGAAACCAAAAAAAAAAAGGACAAAGAAAAAGAAGAAAAGGAAGAAGAAGCAUAAGGGAAGUGGAUUUCUCAAGAAACCGGAAAAAAGAAAAAUAAAUAAAGAAGAAGAAGAAGCAUAGGUAAGAUUUAGGAAGUGUGCGCGGAGGCAAGUUUCGAGAGAGAUUCAGAAACAGAUACAACCCCCUAAAUAGAAAUUUUCUGCUGCUUCUUUCAACAUUUACAUUUGCUGUGCAGAUUUAAUACUCAGGGCAUUGAUAUGAGAAAUUCCUGAUGGAUAAUCACCCUGUCAAAGGCAAUCUAGUGGUGUUAAGUCUCCCAUUCUUGUCACCAUCACUCGUCAUUGUAGCAAGUGAUGCCUGAGAAAUAUUUCUUUGGAAGAAGACCACCAGUCCCUCUUUGGAAUAAAGACAUCAAAAUUAUUAUUGGAGAACCAAUUGAAUUUGAUCUCCAGAGCUUGAAGCAGACAGCUAAAACAGUUUCUCGAGACUCAUCUAUUCAUAAUCUUGGGUGGCCUAACACUAGAGAUGGACUUGAUGAGGCAGAACAAAAAUGGCUCUACGUUUACAUUUCUGAUCAGAUCCGAACUAUCAUGGAGAGAUUGCGUAUCUUUGGUGCUACUAUCAAGAGAUUUAAGGUGUGAUAUGCUCAUUUUCCUUCUAUUGAUUGAGGUUGUAGCUUACGCAGCAUGGAAAUUUUAUUUUACAAGUUCUUUGCUACAUGAGCCUUGUGAAAAAGCUCUAUUAUUUUUUCCCUGACGAGAGGCAACGCUCUAUUUCUGAGAGUGUCCAGUGAUUAAUAGUUAGUUCCGAUCAGAAUUUUGAUCGUUUGGAGUUGCUUAAAAAUAAAGAUAAACCAUUCUUAUCCCUCUCCAA